AAACAGUUGCUAAGACUGGAUAGGAAAUUAGAAGGCAUCUUUUAAUUUUUAAAAGACCUUUUUCGAAAGGUAUACUUAAAGAGGGGCUUGCGGCACAUUAGUUAGUUGGUAGGGUAAAAGCCUACCAAGACCAUGAUGUGUAGCUGGACUGAGAGGUUGAACAGCCACAUUGGGACUGAGACACGGCCCAAACUCCUACGGGAGGCAGCAGUAGGGAAUUUUCGGCAAUGGAGGAAACUCUGACCGAGCAACGCCGCGUGAACGAUGAAGUAUUUCGGUAUGUAAAGUUCUUUUAUUGGAGAAGAAAAAAUAGUGGAAAAACUAUCUUGACGAUAUUCAAUGAAUAAGCCCCGGCAAACUAUGUGCCAGCAGCCGCGGUAAUACAUAGGGGGCGAGCGUUAUCCGGAAUUAUUGGGCGUAAAGGGUGCGUAGGCGGUUUGGUAAGUCUAUAGUUUAAUUUCAGUGCUUAACACUGUUCUGCUAUAGAAACUAUCAGACUAGAGUGAGAUAGAGGCAAGUGGAAUUCCAUGUGUAGCGGUAAAAUGCGUAAAUAUAUGGAGGAACACCAGAGGCGUAGGCGGCUUGCUGGGUCUUUACUGACGCUGAGGCACGAAAGCGUGGGGAGCAAACAGGAUUAGAUACCCUGGUAGUCCACGCCGUAAACGAUGAGUACUAAGUGUCGGGGAAACUCGGUACUGAAGUUAACACAUUAAGUACUCCGCCUGAGUAGUACGUACGCAAGUAUGAAACUUAAAGGAAUUGACGGGACUCCGCACAAGCGGUGGAUCAUGUUGUUUAAUUCGAAGAUACACGAAAAACCUUACCAGGUCUUGACAUACUCUGCAAAGCUAUAGCAAUAUAGUGGAGGUUAUCAGGGAUACAGGUGGUGCAUGGUUGUCGUCAGCUCGUGUCGUGAGAUGUUAGGUUAAGUCCUAAAACGAGCGCAACCCUUGUCACUAGUUGCCAGCAUGUUAUGAUGGGCACUUUAGUGAGACUGCCAAUGAAAAAUUGGAGGAAGGUGAGGAUCACGUCAAAUCAUCAUGCCCCUUAUGAUCUGGGCUACAAACGUGAUACAAUGGCUGUUACAAAGAGUAGCUAAAACGCGAGUUUAUAGCCAAUCUCAUAAAAGCAGUCUCAGUUCGGAUUGAAGUCUGCAACUCGACUUCAUGAAGUUGGAAUCGCUAGUAAUCGCGAAUCAGCAUGUCGCGGUGAAUACGUUCUCGGGGUUUGUACACACCGCCCGUCA
rnacentral:rRNA from 2 species